UACGGAGGGUGCAAGCGUUAAUCGGAAUUACUGGGCGUAAAGCGUGCGCAGGCGGUUUGGUAAGUCCGUUGUGAAAGCCCCGAGCUCAACUUGGGAAUUGCAGUGGAUACUGGCAGGCUGGAGUACGGUAGAGGAAGGUGGAAUUCCCGGUGUAGAAGUGAAAUGCGUAGAUAUCGGGAGGAACACCAGUGGCGAAGGCGGCCUUCUGGACCAGGACUGACGCUCAUGCACGAAAGCGUGGGGAGCAAACAGG
rnacentral:rRNA from 1 species